rnacentral:tRNA from 1 species
UCUCUGAUAUAACUCAGUUGGUAGAGCGUCAGACUACAAAUCGAAAGGUCGUUGGUUCCAUCCCCGUUCGGCAAG